AGAAGAGUCAUGUCCUUGGGCUUCAGCUUUUGCCUUGUUCUAGGCUCCAAGAUAGGCCCAUUCAGGCAUGACUGCCUUGACUGACAUUGGACUCCAUGCUCUGGAGAGGACCAGGAGCUCAGCAUGGAGGGUGCUGGCCACUUGGUCCUACCUGUGGAUGCCUGAGGGACAGUCUGAAGCAGGACAAACAGACCACAGAGGUUCUCAGGCCUCUCUAUAGCUUGAGAAUCAGGAUGGAUAUCCAUCGUGGAAACUUAUUGCUGAACGAGACCCAGGAAACUGAACCUCUGAAAACAUAUAUACUGCAACAGGUUGUAGUUAUAAUAUAUUGCUGCUUGUGACCUAUUCCCAAAACCAAGACCAACACUGGAAAUGAUUCUCCCAGAAGGAGGGCUGGCUGAGAUGUGUCUGGUUGUCAUUGCCUGCAUGGCUUUGCCUAGCACCUGAGGCCUCCAAAAGCAAAGGACAUGCCUGGUCCUGCUAAUUCCUGAGCUGUUUGGGGAUUAUGCAACGUAAAUCUGGUUGCUUCUUGGCUUUCCGGCUACCGCCUUUCUAUUCAUAUUUUCAGCUGCUCCAGCUUUAAUUACGUGCUGCUCAGAGCCCCUUGUUGCCCGGUGACAACCAAGUGGAAGAACUUUGAUGAAGUGCCUGAUGGAUGGUGACUCACCUCUCAGUCUGGAUGAUUGUUGGAACACAAUGUCAGCUGCAGAAUAACCCUUUCUGACUCAAUGUUGUGUCCACAAACACAGAUUUUAAGAAACCAACCACCUCUUCAGAGUUUUGAAUACAUAAUAUCACCUGAUUUUUUUUUUUUAAUCUCAACCUGGGGCAUAAGGAUCAUUCAGUUGCUGGAUUUUCUUAAGUUAAAUUGCAAAAGAAUACAAAACAUAACCACGUGGUCUAUUUGGAUGGCUUUCAGUUAUUUUCUAUCAGCCCAUUGGAAAUGAUGGGCCUGGGAAGGAUACUCUGUAACUGAUAGUUUGAUCAGCUGUUUAGUAUCUUUCAAAUGUGGAUUGACAUUGGAGCUUACCAUAUGACAGACAGGGAGGCCGAGUUAUUAACAUUUAUUUCCUGACGUCGUUUGACCCACAGCCUCUCUAACUACCAGAUUUAUACUGCUAGCAUAGCAGGAGUUCUGCAGGUGAAAGCCAUCUCGAAAAUGAAUGGAAACAUUUUUGGAGUGCUAUGGAGACAAGGACCUGCAAAUGUAUUUCCAAGCAGAGAAAGAGGAGAGACUGACCUGUGAUGAUUAGUGAACCUUCAACCAGAUAACUAGGGUUCAAAUCCUGAGUCUGUGUCUUACAUUCUGCAUGACCUUGGGUAAUUUUCUUGAUCUCUUGGAUAAGAAAACAGCUCUCUUUGCUCACAGGAUUGUGGGGUAAAUUAAAGGAGCAAUGAAA